GCCGCGGGGGCUGCCGGGGGCACGCUGUGCGCCCACAGCGCCUGCGCGAACUGUUCUGACCUAGACCACACGCCACGGCCGGGCGAGGGGCGCCUUCGGACGGCUGGUCCGGCGGGCGCAGGCUGACUGUGGACCCCUUGGCCUGUUGGACAGUUGACGUGCGCCGGGCGGUCCCCUGAGGACUAGUCGCCCCCGAGUGGGCUGGCUCUAGGGGCCGGACUUUCACCUCCGGAAUGGCCCCGCCCUUUCCCACGCCUCGGCCAAUGGGAGCGGGGGCCCUCGGCGGAGCAGCCAAUGGAGGGCGCUCAGCGGCAGUGGGCGGGGCGGCCGGGCCGGGCCCACCUUGCUCUCUCUGGGCUUACAGCUCUCUUCCCUCCUGUUAAUGCCCGGCCCUUGGUGGUACCCAGAGCGCUAGGGACCCUACCAAAGUGUUACUUCAGGGGUUCUAAGGUCCCAGAGUAGCCGUAGGGAAAGUGACUGGUCGAAGCACAAAGAGUGGAGACCAGGGGUAGUAGUGGAAGCAGGGAGGCUCUUUCCAGGACUAGGUAGGACUCUAGGGAAGACAGCAGAGGAGCAUCACCACGGUUUCGAGCUUUAACAGGGCUGCUCUGCUGAAGACAGUUAGUGGGGAUCCAAGGGAGGAUGCUAGGACACCAGUGAAGAGGCCGGCAGGUGUCCAGACAAGGGGUUCAGGGUGGAAUCUCACUGGGUAUGGUGGAGCAUACCCAGUGAGUAUGCAUUUCAGAGAUGAGUACUUGGAAGCUGGUCUCCAUGGAUUUGCAGAGGAGAUGGGGUGGGGGGGACACAAUAACUGCACUUGCAUGAUCUGAACACCUGGAAGGAAGCGUUUCCAGGCCUGAGACAAAGGAACUGUGUGUGACCCUUAGAGCCAGUUGCUUGAUGAUACUGUUGAAUUCAACCGAGCGCUUCCUAAUUUCCUGCCUGUGGAUCUGUGGGUUCCUGCUGGGAAGCUGAGGUCCUCAUCUGUAACAGUGGGUCCUUCUGCUUCUCCUUGCAGUCUGUCAGCUCUUGUCUCAUGAGGUUUCACACUCGAGGCCCAUGUGUGCUCUAGGAUCCUAUGUCUUCCUGCAAAAUGGCUCUUUUAUCAUUAGACAGAGUCUCACUAAGUUGGUGAAGCUGGCCUUGAACUUGUGAUCCUCCUGUCUCUGCCUCCCAACUCAUUGGGAUUGCAGGUGUGUGCUGCUGCACCUGGCUUUGGUGGAUAGUUUUCUUCUUUCAAUACUGUAAAUGUCUCACUCUGUUCUCAGCUUGCUUGUGUGGCUCACAAAGGGAAGUCUGAGGCAAUUACUAUCCUUGAUUUAAUUACUUUUUCACCUGUUAAGAUUUGGCUGAGCAGAUGUCUGGGCUCAGCCCAGGGAGGGUCCCCACGUAGUUCUGUGGCCACUGGGAGCCAGACUGAGUUCAAGUCGACUGCUUUGUCCUUGUUUACCAGGUGGAGAAGGAAGUCAAGUAUUGCCUUGUGGAGAGCCAUUCUUGCACGUGAUUGGGCACCUCCCUGAUUGGGUGUGAGGCGUUCUGGCCAAACUGUGUUGGAGCUAAUCCCCACCCUCUCCAGGUGUGAGAGCCUGUCCAUGUGGGGGUGUGACUGACCAUUGACCCUGAGACCAAUCACUGACCCUGACCUUAGAAUGCUGCCCCCCUCGACCUUCAUUGGAUGGAAUUUUCCCCUGAAUUUCUUGUUCUCCAUAAAAGGCCACUCCCUGGCGUGUUCUCGCGCUCUCUCUCUCCUGCUAGUCCUGAGUAAGCCUUGCUGUUCCACUGGGUGGUUCGAGGUGAGAGCUAGAGGGAGGGCCAUCUCGGACCUGGUCAAAGAGAAAGGUAAUUGAGUCUUGUGUGUUUAUUUUGAUCUCACUAGUUAACUUCUAUGCUAUGAACCUCUGGUAUGAAACCAGUGUGCUGGUCGCCGGGUGGAUUGCCUCAGUCCCUGAGGUGGAGGGUGGACUUCAGACCCACUGCCACCGGAGACUGUUUCUACCACUUGCACAGCUGCCUCUGCCCCGGUGCGUUCCUGUUCACCCCGUGGUUUUAUCAGCUGUUUCUACCAGGGAGUAAGUUGGGGGCAGGCUGGGCCCUGUCCAUUCUGAUCAACGAGAAUCAGUACAGAUCUCCCCAGGAGCUGUGGUCUUCCCAGCUCUGCGUUGCCGCACUUGGCCCCCAGGGGCUGUGAUGCCCUGCACAGCCGAGCUGCUCUGCCUACCCUGGGUUUCUUCUCACGGGCAUGGGCUUCGGCACCAACAGCCAUCUUUCCUGAGGACCUCCACCAAUCCUCUGCUUGACCCUUAGACCUGCUCCUUGUGUUUAAUCAAUUGAGUGUCAAGAACAGAAAUUGAAGGCCCAGAACAGGGGAAAACAGGAACUUCAAGUCCCUUAUAUUUAUCCUGUGCCCUGAUAAUGUUCUGCUAACGUCCUGUGCUCAAUAAACCAAGAGCUGUUCUUCUGGGUGUAGAGAAAGAAGCAUGUGUGCCCCUCAGACCCCUGCCUGGGUGUAGUGUUGGGCACAGAGCUUCUGGGUGAAUGCCUGCCUUGGGGACCGACCCUGUUCCCAAACCCUGGCCGGUGUGUGUGGUGGUCUCCAUGGAGUGACUAUGAGAGCAGUUUUAGUCCUUGUAGGAAUGUGGGCCUCUGAAACCCUCCCAGAUUUCAAAGUUAUAUCGUCAUUAUAAUUUCAUGUCAUUUUAAAAGAGCAAUGAAUGUGCUUCAGCAUCAGAGACUCAGCUACGAUGAGAACCUGUGGGGUCUGUGGACUCCAUUCUUAUCAGCCACCCGUAGCAGGGCAGCUGGAAGCCCCUCUUCCCACCCCUGCACUUGCAGUGUCUGCUGCAUGAGUUUGGGCAGGGACUUUGCAGUUUUCCCCUCUUCUCUGGCCCCUCUGGAAUCCCAUGCCUCCUUCCUUCAGGGAACAUGGAGUCAGCACUUUCCUGCAGCUGACUCUCCUGAUUGUGGUCAGGAGUCAGAAGCUUUUGAUUUUAGUUCCUGGCUCAGCAUGGAGCAGGAAGCUGGUUGUCUCCUGUGUUAGGGCUGAGGCCAUGACCCUCUACUGAGGGUCCUGCAGGGCAUCAUGGUCCUCUGGCCUUGGCUGAGAUUCUUCUAGAACUAUUUAUGGGUAGCUGUCCAAUCUCUGAAAUGUGACUUGGAAAAUUUCAGAGCCUAUCAGAUUUCCUGAACAUAUGAGCUUUAGUCACAUCCAUCCCAAGGUCACCACCAGUGGGUUGCUGUUGCGUAGACUGUAAGGUGAGAAGAGCAAGAGAGCACAGUGCUGUUGUGAUGAGGAGGCGCGUCUGCCCUGAGCAGCAGACACCAGCUUGCUUCCAGAGGAGGAAAUGGCUUCUGGGGAGAAGAUGAGCUUCAGGGUCUGUGAGUAUGAAAACUUGUGGAGGAGAAUGAGUAGGAGAUGGAGGUGGCAGUGGGUGGCAAAUGGGCUGGUGAUUCCUCAAAGCUCCUUAAUGAGCCCUUGGGAUCCCUGAGAAGAUGAGCAGGUGGUGCCGGGGCUCAGAAGCCGUAGGAGAGCACCAAGACUGAUCACAGAGCUGGUCACCAGACCUCUGUGGAGCUUGGGGGCCUGACUGACAUCAGGGCUGCUUAGUACUCCUUUCUGCCAAAUAGUAGCUGUAUAUCUUAAGUAUUUAGGAAUUGAGCUCUGAGUAAGACAACUUCCCACUGUUUGGUGUACACAAUUUUUUUAAUGGGGGUACUGGGAUUUAAAUCCAAGGGUGCUCUACCACUGAGCUUUCUCCCCAGCCCUUUUGUUUUAUAUUGAGACAUGGUCUUGCUAAGUUGCUGAGGUUAGCCUCAACCUCCUGCCUCAGUCUCUGCAUUCCUGAGAUGACAGGCAUGCACCGUGGUGUCCAGUUCACAGUGACAUGUUUUUAUCUGAAACACAAUUGAAUGGAUAUGAUUUUGUAAAUAGCUUCCCCUAAUAAUUAUAAGAAGUGUGUGCUAGAACUCCAACUAUCCAAAAAAUAAAAUAAAAUAAAUAAAAUAAAAUAAAAUAAAAUAGUAAAGUAAAGUAAAGUAAAGUAAAAUAAAAUAAAAUAAAAUAAAAUAAAAUAAAACCCUGGUUUUAGUGUUUGCCGCCCUCUAGUGUCAAUCUUCCCACCACCGCCAAACUCAAGAUGUGGGCUCCAUCCACCUUUGGCUCUCGCAGCACCCCUGCCUCUAGGUGCCUGGGAAGCAGGAGCCUUGUUGGCCUGAACAUCCCUCCCCAGCCGAGCCCUGUCCUGGACCAGUGCUGUGCCUGCUCACAGGCUCAGAGCAGGGGCCACUCUGGAUCCCCUCCUACCACUUCAGGGACCUCGGUGUUUUCACCUCUCACAUGAUCCUCCCACUGCAGCUGCGAGCCUCACUGUGCACGUCUGCUGUCAGUGGUGCUGUCAGACAUCACUGUGGGGAGGCCUUAGACCUGCAGGCCAAGCCCACUGAAGCCCAGAGCAGAGCCAUGGCCUUGCAUGUCCUGCAGUCCUUAGAGUAGAGACCACGUUGGUGUGCUACGAAGCCAGUAUUUGGAACAAUUGAAAACUGGGCAAGGAAAAAAGCUCCUCCAAUUUUUGGGUGACUUCCUAUCACAUGGCAGUGUAACAUUAGCAGGUGGCUGUGGCUUGUCCAGGGAGGUGAGCCAGUGGACGCUGUCAGCAGUGGCACAUGAGGGUGUGGCUAGUGCUGUCUGCUGUGAGGCCAUCUUUUGCUUGCUGUUCUCUCCCAGCAGUUCCGCAUGCACCUUGGGAAACCCUGAUAGAAGGCCCCUCCGAGGGAAGCAAGGCCCUUCUUCCAGAGCGCCCUGGAGAUUCCUGUGAGUUCCACUCAGCCAGGCUCACGGGAAGCAUUUCCAUCACCGCUGCCAGGAGCCAGCAAGAGGGCCCAGGUCCUGGGUGUGGGGCUGCUGCUGAGAGUUCAACCUGUUUCCAUCAGGUUUGUGUUUAGGACAGGCUCAGGAGGGACUGUCUUGCAGGAAGACAGGUCCCCAGAGACAGGAGGCAGGGCCCUUGAGGGUCCACAGGAAGCACCAGGGUGGACAGGGGGCAGAGAGAAAGAGGGGAGUGGAGGCCAGAGCCUUUCUUGUGGCUUCCAUGGGAAGGGACAGGUGGGGUGGGGCAGGGGCGCUUGGGACUGGCUGAUCAGAUGGAUUCUGAGGCCUAGGGGCUGCCCUAGUCAUCCAGUACUGGCCUCGGGGUGACCAGGCCAGUGAGUAGUAGCCUGGGUGGUUGAGAGGCAUUGGAUUGGUUGGUUUGCAUAGGGAAGUCCCACUUACUGGUGAGUCUCUGCAUCUCUGGAGCUGGCUGUCUCUGGGGAAGCUGUCCCUCAAGGUCAUCAGAUACAGAAUGUGUUUAUCCCGCUGUACAUUGGAGAAGGAAGCUGGAUCUGGGUGCAGAGGGUGGCCCUGGACACUAUGGUGGAGGACUUCUCCUUGGGGCUUCCCCUUGUCCUCCUGGGGCACAGCCCUUAGCCAGAGUCACUGUGAGGCUCCGGCUUGUCUGUGGUGGGCUGCCGUGGGCUGUGGUGGCUGGACUGCAGAAGCUUCCAGUGUUCCCACACAUCAGAAGUGUUUUGUGUUUUGUUUUUUGAAAUUAACCUGUUACUAUUAAAUAAAAUUCAGACACAGACAGUCAUGCACAAAUGUGUAACUUCCUGGAUUAUUUGGGCAGAAACUCUUGUUGCAUCACUCCUGGUCAAGAGUGUGGUGGGCUCCCCAGAAGCAGACUCCGGGGGUAGGAGAUGUUCCCUGUACCCCUCAACCAAUGACAGACGUGCAGAGGUUCCAUCAGAGGUGGCUGUUGCCUUCAGCAGGACUUCAGAUGCCUGGUGACCAGCCCUCAGGGGGCUCCUUGGAUCUGAAGUGAGCAGCUGGAGGCCCAGGUCCACUCUUUCCCUGGGGUGCAAAGCCAGGUUCCGCCAUUUAUUUUUAUGUGUCGGUGAAGAAGGCUUUGUUUAUUGUGGUUACUUGUGGUUUUGGGGGUGGAACCUGGGCCUUGCUCAUGAUGGGCUGGUGUUCCAACACUGACCUGCACCUGCAGCCCUUCUGAAGUGCUGGGAUUGGAACUGAGGGUCUUGUGCAUGCUGGGCAAGCUUCUACCGCUGCGCUGCACCCCAGUGCAGACGAGAUGGUCGCAUGGUCUCCUCAUCCACACCAGUCUUGGUUCCUUGGGACCAGGGACGAUCAAGCCAGACCAUGACCUCUCUGCUGGUCUACUUGACCCUGCUGCACCUGCGUGCCUGGGAAUCUGCAGCGCCAACAUCGCCGUCUCCUCCGCCAUCGUGAGGGCUGCUGAGGAACACUGGCCUCUCUCUGCCUGCUCCACCUGGGUUCAGAGGUGGCCUGUGGCCACGCUGUCUGCUCAUGAAGCCACACAUCUGCUCUCUGUGCUCUCCCACCCUGUGUCUUUCUGCAGCACCUGGAUGUCAGGCUGUCUGCUCCAGGCUCACCUCAGUGUUCACUGUCACGUCCUUCUAGCGGUCUGCUGUGGGACGCUGUUUUUGAUAGAUUCAGCAGGGAGGCUCUGGGGGAAUAGAUCUCUCAAGCUAUUCUGGGGAUAACAGGAUGCCUUCGCCCAGUUCACGGGUUGCCUGUCCAUUUUUAUGGAGGUCAGAGAGCUCCGCAGACUGUGUCUCCCUUAUGAUGUCAUUGCUGGUCCCCCAUGGGGCUUCUCCUGUGCUCUGGUUACCCUCCUGUGCUCCUGUGUGUCUUGCAUAGUGUGACAUGCCUGUGACACGCCUGGUUUACUUAGAGACUGGCUUCUCCUCUCCAUUCCCCACAACUUCUCUCUGCCGUUGCCUCGGAUUCUGGGACCUGCUUUCUGGACUCCAGUGCUCCCGACCCCAGGAGUUCAUACCUGCUCCUGAGGCUUGGGCCCUGCAUUCAGCUCAGGGCUCCAUCCAUCCUGGUUCUCCCUCUUGUGACUCAGGACUGUUCUGGGAGGGCUCAUUUGCUGCACCUGGACACCAUGCCUGGCUUGGCAGGCAACGGAAGGCACGCGUGUGUGCAGGUGUGAGUAUGUAUGCGGUCCUCAGUGAUGAAAUGCUGCCCAGUGCAUCCCCUUCCCCCCAAGAAGGGGCCCUUGGGAAAGAUGCAGAAAAGGGGUGCAGAGGCUAC